AAGUCGUAACAAGGUUUCCGUAGGUGAACCUGCGGAAGGAUCAUUACCAAUUUCGGGGGACUUCGGUCCCUGUCUGAACCCUUGUCUUUUGAGUACCAUUUGUUUCCUUGGUAGGCUUUGCCUGCCAAUAGGACGACACCACUUAACCUCUUGUAAUUGCAAUCAGCGUCAGAAAAACAUAAUAGUUACAACUUUCAACAACGGAUCUCUUGGUUCUG
rnacentral:misc_RNA from 1 species